AAAUGCUUCCAGUGACUGUGUC
rnacentral:miRNA from 1 species